UCUCCGUAGGUGAACCUGCGGAGGGAUCACUACAGGCUUGCAAAAGCUCUGAAACCACUGUUUAUCUACCUGAAUCUGCUUCGGCGGGCGGCCCCAGGGCGGGGGCGGAGCCGCAAGGCGCCCCCCGCAGACCCCCAAACCCUGUCGUCUUUUGAAUCUAUGAGCAUCAUAUUAAACAAAAAACAACUUUCAACAACGGAUCUCUUGGCUCUG
rnacentral:misc_RNA from 1 species